rnacentral:rRNA from 1 species
UUAGGAAUCAUGCGCAAUGGGGGCAACCCUGACGCUGCGACGCCGCGUGAAGGAUGAAGGUCUUCGGAUCGUAAACUUCUUUUAUAUGGGACGAAUAAAUGACGGUACCAUAUGAAUAAGCACCUGCUAACUACGUGCCAGAAGCAUCGGUGAUGCGUAGGGUGCAAACGUUAUCCGGAUUUAUUGGGCGUAAAGAGAUGCGUAGGCGUCUCUGCAAGUCUUGUGUCAAAGCCAGUAGCUCAACUACUGAAAGGCAUUUGAAACUGCAGAGAUUGAGACAGAGAGGGGUGAAGGGAAUUCCCGGUGGAGUGGUGAAAUACGUUGAUAUCGGGAGGAACACCAGAGGCGAAGGCGCUUCACUGGAUCUGUUCUGACGCUAAGGCUCGAAAGCGUGGGAAGCAAAACGG